GGCCAGAGAGGGUGACCAACCUGGCCCAAAUCACACAGCGAUGCAGCUUGGUCAUCCAGGCUCUACUCUGCCACGCUGCUUCUAGACCCAGAGGACCUUCAAUGUUUUCAGGUUACAGUUUUCCAUUAGUGGUCAUCGAUCCUGACCUCUUUCUGUAACGGAUGGAGAAAGGUCACUUUUCAGAAGAAGAAACCCAAGACCCAAGUGUGAAUUGGUGCAGAGGCAAAGAGACCUGCCCAGCGUCACCCAGUACAGCUCAGAGUUCCAAACGUAUCACUUCUUGUCAUCUCGCAGCCCCUGGAGUACCAGGAAAGGAUUAUUUCUCCACCUUAUAGACGAUGAAAUGGAAGUCCGGAGAAGUGAAAUGAGCUUCCUGAGCUCACACAGCAAUGGCAGAACUGGGGCGGAAUCAGGCCUCCUGGGUUACAUGGUGAAACAGACACGGGCAAUCUGACCCCAAUGGAAGACCCACACCGCAGUGCAGACUGGGCCUCCCAUCCUGCCUCCUUCCUCUGUUAUCCCUUUCCCUGCCUCUCAUGCAGUCACUCAACAGGUAUUUUCGAGUACCUGCUCAUGUUCCAUGUCCAGCUUCUUGCCCUCCCUUCCCUACUAGGGUCUGCCAAGGCCCCUCCAAAACCUGGGUGGAUCUCUGGGUCUCUGGCUCCCCCUACUUAGUCCACCCGCAUUACCUCAGACCACAAGACGUCUCUAGUCACAGACUCCUGGCUCUUAGAUGCCCGAGGACAUCAUUUUAAAGGGCUUUAGGGGGGGCGCCUGGGUGGCUUAGUCAGUUGAGCAUCCAACUCUUGAUUUCAGCUCAGGUCAUGAUCUCGUGGUUCGUGGACUCCAGCCCCACAUGUGUCAUCACGGAGCCUGCUUGGGAUUCUCUCUCCUCCUCUCUCUGCCCCUCCUCCCCUGCUCACUUGCUCUCUCUCUCUCUCAAAAUAAAUACAUAAAAAUUGCUUAAAAGUUAAAAAAAUAAAAAUUAAAGAGUUUA